AUUGAACGCUGGCGGCAUGCUUUACGCAUGCAAGUCGAACGGUAACAGGUUAAGCUGACGAGUGACGAACGGGUGAGUAAUGCAUCGGAACGUGCCCGAUCGUGGGGGAUAACGCAGCGAAAGCUGCGCUAAUACCGCAUACGAUCUGAGGAUGAAAGCGGGGGACCGUAAGGCCUCGCGCGAUCGGAGCGGCCGAUGUCAGAUUAGGUAGUUGGUGGGGUAAAGGCCCACCAAGCCGACGAUCUGUAGCUGGUCUGAGAGGACGACCAGCCACACUGGGACUGAGACACGGCCCAGACUCCUACGGGAGGCAGCAGUGGGGAAUUUUGGUCAAUGGGCGAAAGCCUGAUCCAGCAAUGCCGCGUGCAGGAAGAAGGCCUUCGGGUUGUAAACUGCUUUUGUACGGAGCGAAAAGGUCCUUUCUAAUACAAGGGGCUCAUGACGGUACCGUAAGAAUAAGCACCGGCUAACUACGUGCCAGCCGCCGCAGUAAGAC
rnacentral:rRNA from 1 species